rnacentral:rRNA from 1 species
GAUGAACGCUGGCGGCGUGCCUAAUACAUGCAAGUCGAGCGAACAGACGAGGAGCUUGCUCCUCUGACGUUAGCGGCGGAAGGGUGAGUAACACGUGGAUAACCUACCUAUAAGACUGUGAUAACUUCGGGGAACCGGAGCUAAUACCGGAUAACAUGUUGAACCGCAUGGUUCAACAGUGAAAGACGGUCUUACUGUCACUUAUAGAUGGAUCCGCGCCGCAUUAGCUAGUUGGUAAGGUAACGGCCUACCAAGGCAACGAUGCGUAGCCGACCUGAGAGGGUGAUCGGCCACACUGGAACUGAGACACGGUCCAGACUCCUACGGGAGGCAGCAGUAGGGAAUCUUCCGCAAUGGGCGAAAUCCUGACGGAGCAACGCCGCGUGAGUGAAGAAGGUCUUCGGAUCGUAAAACUCUGUUAUUAGGGAAGAACAAAUGUGUAAGUAACUAUGCACGUCUUGACGGUACCUAAUCAGAAAGCCACGGCUAACUACGUG